CCAAAAGCAGGAAGUAGAAACAUGGCUGACUGACAAGUUCCUCCACAGUUUGAAGAAAGUUACCUGCAAGCAGACGCUGCAGAAAAGCCUUGCUUGGUUUGGUUGAUUAUGAAGUGGGUUCUGAUUGGCGACAGGACGCUGCAGACGAAGCCCAGUUCCUUAAACCGUGUGGUGGCCACUGACUGCUAGCUGCUAGUUUAGCUGGGCUGAACCUGACAGGCCUGAUGUGCUGACUGCAGAGUGGUUCAGUAAACCGAGGAGGACACGUAGUUUAAAGGCGACUUUCAUGUGACUGAUGGAGGUUAGUAAUAAGGGACCUGGUUGGGCCAGUGGGGUGCAGUGUUCACGUUCAAGCAUCUGCUUUAAUGUUAAAUGAGAGUCGUAUCAUUUCCUCCAACGCUCAUUCAUAGCUCUGCAGUUCAGGUUUGCUUCAGCAGAAGAUGAUUUAUGUUAUUCCUGAGGAAAGAAUGGAAUUUCUGGCUGCAAGCGUUGCCUUGUAUGGCAACAGAGACCAGACCGAGCUUUGAACCUGAAGAAACUAAAGAUAGCUUCAUCUAAAACAUUCAGACAGCUGAACAGAGCGAUAAGCACCAUGAUGGAAGGUGCUCUGCUGAUGGAUCGCUCAGUGGCGAUGAUGAUGAUGAUGAUGAUGAUGCUCCGCAGACAGCUGAUGAAAGCCGAUACGUUUGCUCUCGUCCUCUGAGGCCGGCUGCAGAGAGGUCAUGUUCAUGUCCCUGGAGGUGACGCCUCCAUUAGCCAGUAUCAUGUUCGCACCUUGGCUGCAUGCGCCUGGCUCACACACGGACCCGCUGGGACCAACAUGAGAAGAGGAAGCUCCUGUCAUUCAUAGAUGUGUAACAGUCAUGACUCUUAUCAGAUCAAUCAGAAAGAAAAACAGCAGUAAAUAAACAGUGUAGUUCAGCUGACAUUCGUAAGGUCAGAUAAAUCCAUUCCUUCAGUCUUUUUUUUCUUAAGUUCUUACAAGAAUUAAAAUUUAUUAGGGGCCAGUUUAAGUUG